UGCAGAGAUGCUUGGAAAGGCAGCACACUUUUUUCCAGUCAUAUCAUGAGCAGGAAACCAAAAGCAUUGAGGUCCUGAGGCGAACUCUGAAUGACAUGCGCUCGAGCCCCGAGUACGAGGAGCCGUUAUUCAUGUCCCAGAUGGCGCAUCUUAAAAAAGACAUGAAGUCAAUCCAAGAGCGCCUCCUCAGAACAAUGCACGAGGAGGCCUUGGAAGGUUUGAGGAGAGGUCUGCGUGCCUGGGUACUUGUUGAUUGAAGUUGAAGUUUUAAGUGCAAGCUAAGUUACACCAAGUUUGUGUAAAUAAGUGCAUAAUAAGUAAGUCUCAAGUCCAAGUUAAGCUACACUGUUACAGUUUGGUAAUAUUAUAUAAGUGUUUAAUACCAGUGUCACUGCUUCUGUUAAUAUGCUAUAUGAUUUAAGUGCAAGUUGUUUCUGUUUCACCGAUUCUUGCAAAUGUAACUUUUUAAAUCUAAUCUUGCUUUCUU